AAAAGGAGUAAUCCGCUGAUAGAUGGGCUUACGCCUGAUUAGCUAGUUGGUGGGGUAACGGCCUACCAAGGCGACGAUCAGUAGCCGAACUGAGAGGUUGAACGGCCACAUUGGGACUGAGAUACGGCCCAGACUCCUACGGGAGGCAGCAGUCGGGAAUAUUGCGCAAUGGAGGAAACUCUGACGCAGUGACGCCGCGUAUAGGAAGAAGGUUUUCGGAUUGUAAACUAUUGUCGUGAGGGAAGAAGAUGACAGUACCUCAGGAGGAAGCUCCGGCUAACUAUGUGCCAGCAGCCGCGGUAAUACAUAGGGAGCAAGCGUUAUCCGGAAUUAUUGGGUGUAAAGGGUGCGUAGACGGGAAAUUAAGUUAGUUGUGAAAUCCCUUGGCUUAACUGAGGAACUGCAACUAAAACUGAUUUUCUUGAGUACUGGAGAGGAAAGUGGAAUUCCUAGUGUAGCGGUGAAAUGCGUAGAUAUUAGGAGGAACACCAGUGGCGAAGGCGACUUUCUGGACAGUAACUGACGUUGAGGCACGAAAGUGUGGGGAGCAAACAGGAUUAGAUACCCUGGUAGUCCACACUGUAAACGAUGGAUACUAGGUGUAGGGUGUAUUAAGCACUCU
rnacentral:rRNA from 1 species